ACGCUGGCGGCACGCCUAACACAUGCAAGUCGAACGAAGUAGCAAUACUUAGUGGCAGACGGGUGAGUAACAUGUGGGUAUCUGCCCUUUGGCCUGGAAUAACACGAGGAAACUUGUGCUAAUACCGGAUAAGUCUUUACAGAGAAAGCUUUAUGCACCAUUGGAUGAGCCCGCACUUGAUUAGUUUGUUGGUGGGGUAAUGGCCUACCAAGACUGUGAUCAAUAGCUGAUUUGAGAGGAUGAUCAGCCACAUUGGGACUGAGACACGGCCCAAACUCCUACGGGAGGCAGCAGUGGGGAAUCUUGCACAAUGGAGGAAACUCUGAUGCAGCGAUGCCGCGUGAGUGAAGAAGGCCCUUGGGUUGUAAAGCUCUUUCGUCGGGGAAGAAAAUGACUGUACCCGAAUAAGAAGGUCCGGCUAACUUCGUGCCAGCAGCCGCGGUAAUACGAAGGGACCUAGCGUAGUUCGGAAUUACUGGGCUUAAAGAGUUCGUAGGUGGUUGAAAAAGUUGGUGGUGAAAUCCCAGAGCUUAACUCUGGAACUGCCAUCAAAACUUUUCAGCUAGAGUAUGAUAGAGGAAAGCAGAAUUUCUAGUGUAGAGGUGAAAUUCGUAGAUAUUAGAAAGAAUACCAAUUGCGAAGGCAGCUUUCUGGAUCAUUACUGACACUGAGGAACGAAAGCAUGGGUAGCGAAGAGGAUUAGAUACCCUCGUAGUCCAUGCCGUAAACGAUGUGUGUUAGACGUUGGAAAUUUAUUUUCAGUGUCGCAGCGAAAGCGAUAAACACACCGCCUGGGGAGUACGACCGCAAGGUUAAAACUCAAAUGAAUUGACGGGGACCCGCACAAGUAGUGGAGCAUGUGGUUUAAUUCGAAGAUACGCGCAGAACCUUACCAACACUUGACAUGUUCGUCGCGACUCUAAGAGAUUAGAGUUUUCGGUUCGGCCGGACGAAACACAGGUGCUGCAUGGCUGUCGUCAGCUCGUGUCGUGAGAUGUUGGGUUAAGUCCCGCAACGAGCGCAACCCUCACUUUUAGUUGCCAUCAUUAAGUUGGGCACUCUGAAAGAACUGCCAGUGAUAAGCUGGAGGAAGGUGGGGAUGACGUCAAGUCCUCAUGGCCCUUACGUGUUGGGCUACACACGUGCUACAAUGGUAUCUACAACAGGAAGCAAGACUGCGAAGUUAAGCAAAUCCCUAAAAGAUACCUCAGUUCGGAUUGCACUCUGCAACUCGAGUGCAUGAAGCUGGAAUUACUAGUAAUCGUGGAUCAGCGUGCCACGGUGAAUGCGUUCCCGGGUCUUGUACACACCGCC
rnacentral:rRNA from 1 species